UACGGAGGGUGCAAGCGUUAUCCGGAUUCACUGGGUUUAAAGGGUGCGUAGGCGGUCAGAGCAGUCAGUGGUGAAAGCUUCCGGCUUAACCGGGGAAACCGCCAUUGAAACUUUCUGACUUGAAUGCAGAUGAAGUGAGUGGAAUAUAUCAUGUAGCGGUGAAAUGCUUAGAUAUGAUGUAGAACACCGAUUGCGAAGGCAUCUCACUAAUCUGAAUAUUGACGCUGAGGCACGAAAGCGUGGGGAGCC
rnacentral:rRNA from 1 species